rnacentral:rRNA from 1 species
AACGUAGGACACGAGCGUUAUCCGGAGUUACUGGGCGUAAAGGGCGUUUAGGCGGGUGACUAAGUUCGCUAUGAAAGCGCCGGGCUAAACCCGGCGAGGCUGGCGGAUACUGGUGAUCUGGAGUGAGGUAGAGGGAAGUAGAAUUCCGCGUGUAGUGGUGAAAUGCGUAGAGAUGCGGAGGAAUACCAGUGGCGAAGGCGACUUCUUGGACCUUAACUGACGCUGAAGCGCGAAAGCAUGGGGAGCGAACGGG